GAUGAACGCUGGCGGCGUGCCUAAUACAUGCAAGUCGAGCGAACGGACGAGAAGCUUGCUUCUCUGAUGUUAGCGGCGGACGGGUGAGUAACACGUGGAUAACCUACCUAUAAGACUGGGAUAACUUCGGGAAACCGGAGCUAAUACCGGAUAAUAUUUUGAACCGCAUGGUUCAAAAGUGAAAGACGGUCUUGCUUUCCCUUAUAGAUGGAUCUGCGCUGCAUUAGCUAGUUGGUAAGGUAACGGCUUACCAAGGCAACGAUGCAUAGCCGACCUGAGAGGGUGAUCGGCCACACUGGAACUGAGACACGGUCCAGACUCCUACGGGAGGCAGCAGUAGGGAAUCUUCCGCAAAGGGCGAAAGCCUGACGGAGCAACGCCGCGUGAGUGAUGAAGGUCUUCGGAUCGUAAAACUCUGUUAUUAGGGAAGAACAUAGGUGUAAGUAACUGUGCACAUCUGGACGGUACCUAAUCAGAAAGCCACGGCUAACUACGUG
rnacentral:rRNA from 1 species